AAGCAAGCCACCGUUCCUCUCACUCAGAGGCAUUUCGGGCAAAAGGUCUCUCAGCGAAUCCAAGCAAGUCUCCCAAAACCCUCAUUUCUCUCGAUUUUUGCUCGGAAAUCGCCGUUUCUUUCUUCAGUUCCAACCAUUUCGUCGAUUGAUGGCGAAAGGAGCUUCGGAAUUCUCGUUUCUCGGACGUGCAGGAAUCUGAUAUCGGUUGAAGUUCAUGAUAAGGAAAUCAGUAGGAGGAAUCUGAUAUUGGUUCGUUUCAAUCAUCUUACUUUAAGGUCAGCCAAGGUGGACUUGAUAGACUAAUCAAACUUUCAUCUAUAAUUUCUGAAGACCCAUCUGUGCUACAAGAGGCAUGGCACAGUUUGUGAGGAAUUUUGCUGAACCAGGAGAUCCUGAGUAUGCUCCUCCAGUCCAAAAGGGUGAAACUCCGGCCAAGCUGGUUUUUUGUCCCAAGGCGACCUGGCAAAUUCAAGAAUGGAGAUUCUAGUGCAGAGGAGUUGGCCUCAGCUACCCAGGUCCAGGGUCCAUACAUGCCCAUCA